rnacentral:rRNA from 1 species
GACGAACGCUGGCGGCGUGCCUAAUACAUGCAAGUUGAGCGCUCAAGGGUGGUGCUUGUACCAACUGGAUUAGCAGCGGACGGGUGAGUAACGCGUGGGUAAUCUGCCUUUGAGCGUGGGACAACAUUUGGAAACGAAUGCUAAUACCGCAUAACAACUUUAAACACAAGUUUUAAGUUUGAAAGAUGCAAUUGCAUCACUCAAAGAUUAUCCCGCGUUGUAUUAGCUAGUUGGUUAGGUAAAGGCUCACCAAGGCGAUGAUACAUAACCGACCUUAGAGGGUGAUCGGCCACAUUGGGACUGAGAAACGGCCCAAACCUCUACGGGAGGCAGCAGUAGGGAAUCUUCGGCAAUGGACGAAAGUCUGAACGAGCAACGCCGCGUGAGUGAAGAAGGGUCUCGGAUCGUAAAAAUCUGUUGGUAGAGAAGAAAGUUGGUGAGAGUGGAAAGCUCAUGAAGUGACGGUAACUAACCAGAAAGGGACGGCUAACUACGUG